rnacentral:lncRNA from 1 species
AGCUGGUGCUGAAAUGUUUAGCAAUCAUUUUUCAGUGAGAAUUGGCAGGUGCCUGCCAGGAGGGGGGAUGUUAUGUCAGCACAGGUGUCAGAGAACGCGAGAGGUUUCUGAAGGAGACAAAAAUAUGGAAGGGUGUAGCUCCAAUUGCCACCAGCAACCAUCUUCGACUCUGAGGCAAAUCACCAGAACUGAGCACAGGGGCCCUCGGUAAACAUUACAGAAUGAAUAAAGUAAUUAAUGAUGAAUCUGAACCUUUCAAACACCCUUGCGAGGUUUCCCUUGGGACCAACAGUAAUAGCAUUUGCUAUGAAUGCAAAAGUUAUGGCUGAGCAGGCACUUUUUGUAUCUGGAGGUUUGGGACCACCUCCUCUUGGGUACAUUAACUCAUAAGAAGGAAGAGAACCAGGUCAAUCAUUUCUCAACAUGAUGUCAGUCAUUGUAUUAAACCAGUGGUCCCCAGACUUUUGGAUUUCAUGGAACAUUAACAGUUUUAUUUUUUAAAGGGGAGAGGAUUGACAUUGAGUUACUUGCCAAAUUUAAAUUUUGCCAAGGAAAGAGCCAUCAUAAUCUUUCCCCAUAUUUCCAUGAAAGAAUUGACAUUUUAACUUCAAAGCAGUGGGAAGGUUACUGUCUGAUUUCU